AUUCAAGUCCAGACCAGCAACCUGGAAACAGAUUGAAGGUGAUUGUGAGUAAAAUUUACAUCUUUAGUGGAAGUGGAACAACACCUCAAGAGGUAACAAUGGUUGGUUCUUGGUGGUUCCCGCUUAGCAACAUGUGCUAUUUACUUCUUCCUCUUUGUGGCGAAACGUGUAUAUAUAUAUAUGUAUAUGUACAUACGCAAACGGGAAUCUACGGAGAGGCGCAACUAGUUUAAAGCUUUGAAAGUGUUUUCUCUUCGUAGUUCUCGCUCCCACCCACACAUAGGCGCAGAAUAAAUCACAAAUCAGUGGUAGAACCUUAAGCCCGGUUGUGGAACUUGAAUUUAAACGUGUGGAUCGUGUUCGAAAAUUACACUUCAAUUUUUUUUUAUGUUGACACACUUUUUUUGAAACUAGAAUGCAAUAUUCAUAAUCUUAUAUAUAUUGAAAUAAAUGUGAAAAUAAGAUUUUA